UGCGUAGGCGGCGCGGAAAGUCAGGGGUGAAAUCCCGGAGCUCAACUCCGGAACUGCCUUUGAUACUCCCGUGCUAGAGAGCUGGAGGGGACAUCGGAAUUCACGGUGGAGCAGUGAAAUGCGUGGAUAUCGUGAGGAACACUAGUGGCGAAGGCGGAUGUCUGGACAGUAUCUGACGCUGAGGACAAGGCCAGGGGAGCGAAC
rnacentral:rRNA from 1 species